GAUGGGCAUGCGUGACAUUAGCUAGUUGGUGAGGUAACGGCUCACCAAGGCUACGAUGUCUAGGGGUCCUGAGAGGGUUAACCCCCACACUGGUACUGAGACACGGACCAGACUCCUACGGGAGGCAGCAGUAAGGAAUAUUGGGCAAUGGACGCAAGUCUGACCCAGCCAUGCCGCGUGAAGGAUGAAUGUCCUAUGGAUUGUAAACUUCUUUUAUGCAGGAAAAAUGUCCCGGUCGAGCACCGGGACUGAUGGUACCGCAGGAAUAAGCAUCGGCUAACUCCGUGCCAGCAGCCGCGGUAAUACGGAGGAUGCAAGCGUUAUCCGGAUUCAUUGGGUUUAAAGGGUGCGCAGGCGGAAUGAUAAGUCAGUGGUGAAAUCUCUCAGCUUAACUGAGAAACUGCCAUUGAUACUGUCGUUCUUGAGUACAGUUGAAGUGGGCGGAAUGUGUCAUGUAGCGGUGAAAUGCUUAGAUAUGACACAGAACACCGAUAGCGAAGGCAGCUCACUAAGCUGUAACUGACGCUCAUGCACGAAAGCGUGGGGAUCAAACAGGAUUAGAU
rnacentral:rRNA from 1 species